GUCUACGGCCAUGCCACCCUGAAUGAGCCCGAUCCCGUCUGAUCUCGGAAGCUAAGCAGGGUUGGGCCUGGUUAGUACUUGGAUGGGAGACCACCUAGGAAGUCCAGGUGCUGUAGGUG
rfam:Pteropus alecto contig5150, whole genome shotgun sequence.